ensembl:snRNA
UAAACCCUUUUCUUAGGGUUGCGCUACUGUCCAAUGACUGCCUAGUGAGGCCGGUACUGCAAACGCCUACACAACACACCCACAUCAACUACAGCUUUGCUUUCUUUACCUUGGUGCAAUUUUUGGAAAA